GACGAACGCUGGCGGCGUGCUUAACACAUGCAAGUCGAACGGUAAGGCCCUUCGGGGUACACGAGUGGCGAACGGGUGAGUAACACGUGGGUGAUCUGCCCUGCACUUCGGGAUAAGCCUGGGAAACUGGGUCUAAUACCGGAUAGGACUCCGGACUGCAUGGUCUGGGGUGGAAAGCUUUUGCGGUGUGGGAUGGGCCCGCGGCCUAUCAGCUUGUUGGUGGGGUGAUGGCCUACCAAGGCGACGACGGGUAGCCGGCCUGAGAGGGUGACCGGCCACACUGGGACUGAGAUACGGCCCAGACUCCUACGGGAGGCAGCAGUGGGGAAUAUUGCACAAUGGGCGCAAGCCUGAUGCAGCGACGCCGCGUGAGGGAUGACGGCCUUCGGGUUGUAAACCUCUUUCAGCUAUGACGAAGCGCAAAUGACGGUAGUAGCAGAAGAAGGACCGGCCAACUACGUGCCAGCAGCCGCGGUAA
rnacentral:rRNA from 1 species